UACGGAGGGUCCGAGCGUUAUCCGGAAUCAUUGGGUUUAAAGGGUCCGUAGGCGGACAAUUAAGUCAGUGGUGAAAGUCUGCAGCUCAACUGUAGAAUUGCCAUUGAUACUGGUUGUCUUGAAUCGUUGUGAAGUGGCUAGAAUAUGUGGUGUAGCGGUGAAAUGCUUAGAUAUCACAUAGAAUACCGAUUGCGAAGGCAGGUCACUAACAACGUAUUGACGCUGAUGGACGAAAGCGUGGGGAGCGAACAGGAUUAGAUACCCUGGUAGUCCACGCCGUAAACGAUGGAUACUAGCUGUCCGGCGCACAUUGGUGUGCUGGGUGGCCCAGCGAAAGUGAUAAGUAUCCCACCUGGGGAGUACGUUCGCAAGAAUGAA
rnacentral:rRNA from 1 species